rnacentral:rRNA from 1 species
AAUCCAUAGGUUAAUGAGGCGAACCGGGGGAACUGAAACAUCUAAGUACCCCGAGGAAAAGAAAUCAACCGAGAUUCCCCCAGUAGCGGCGAGCGAACGGGGAGGAGCCCAGAGCCUGAAUCAGCAUGUGUGUUAGUGGAAGCGUCUGGAAAGGCGCGCGAUACAGGGUGACAGCCCCGUACACAAAAGCGCAUGUGCUGUGAGCUCGAUGAGUAGGGCGGGACACGUGGUAUCCUGUCUGAAUAUGGGGGGACCAUCCUCCAAGGCUAAAUACUCCUGACUGACCGAUAGUGAACCAGUACCGUGAGGGAAAGGCGAAAAGAACCCCGGCGAGGGGAGUGAAAAAGAACCUGAAACCGUGUACGUACAAGCAGUGGGAGCACAGGUUUACCUGUGUGACUGCGUACCUUUUGUAUAAUGGGUCAGCGACUUAUAUUCUGUAGCAAGGUUAACCGUAUAGGGGAGCCGGAGGGAAACCGAGUCUUAACCGGGCGUUAAGUU